rnacentral:rRNA from 1 species
CACCGGCAGCUCUAGUGGUAGCUGUUUUUAUUGGGCCUAAAGCGUUCGGAGCCGGUUUGAUAAGUCUCUGGUGAAAUCCUGUAGCUUAACUGUGGGAAUUGCUGGUGAUAGUGUUGAACUUGAGGUCGGGAGAGGUUAGCGGUACUCCCAGGGUAGAGGUGAAAUUCUGUAAUCCUGGGAGGACCACCUGUGGCGAAGGCGGCUAACUGGAACGAACCUGACGGUGAGGGACGAAAGCUAGGGGCGCGAACCGGAUUAGAUACCCUGGUAGUCCCUGAGCGGGCU